rnacentral:rRNA from 1 species
CAAUAGCGUAUAUUUAAGUUGUUGCAGUUAAAAAGCUCGUAGUCGGAUUUUGGCUGAGAACGAUCGGUCCGCCGUUAGGUGUGCACUGAUUGGUCUCAGCUUCCUGGUGAGGAGGUGUGCUUCACGGCCACUUAGUCACCGUGGUUACUUUGAAAAAAUUAGAGUGUUCAAAGCGGGCUUACGCUUGAAUAUAUUAGCAUGGAAUAACACCAUAGGACUCCUGUCCUAUUUCGUUGGUCUCGGGACGGGAGUAAUGAUUAAGAGGAACAGUUGGGGGCAUUCGUAUUUCAUUGUCAGAGGUGAAAUUCUUGGAUUUAUGAAAGACGAACUUCUGCGAAAGCAUUUGCCAAGGAUGUCUUCAUUGA